rnacentral:rRNA from 1 species
CCUACGGGUGGCAGCAGUAGGGAAUAUUGCUCAAUGGGGUAAACCCUGAAGCAGCAACGCCGCGUGGAGGAUGAAGGUUUUCUGAUUGUUAAAUCCUUUUGUUAGAGAAGAUAAUGACGGUAUCUAACGAAUAAUCACCGGCUAACUCCGUGCCAGCAGCCGCGGUCUUCCGGAGGGUGCAAGCGUUACUCGGAAUCACUGGGCGUAAAGGGCGCGUAGGCGGGAUAGCAAGUCAGAUGUGAAAUCCUAUGGCUUAACCAUAGAACUGCAUUUGAAACUGUUAUUCUAGAGUAUGGGAGAGGUAGGUGGAAUUCUUGGUGUAGGGGUAAAAUCCGUAGAGAUCAAGAGGAAUACUCAUUGCGAAGGCGACCUGCUAGAACAUAACUGACGCUGAUGCGCGAAAGCGUGGGGAGCAAACAGGAUUAGAUACCCCAGUAGUC